GAGUUUGAUCCUGGCUCAGAACAAACGCUGGCGGCGUGCAUAACACAUGCAAGUCUAACGGGAAUGUCGGCUUCGGCUGGCUAGUACCGUGGCGAACGGGUGAGUAACACGUGGGUAAUCUAACCUCGAGUUUGGGAUAACCUUGCGAAAGCGGGGCUAAUACCGAAUAAGACCACGCUCAGCUCGCUGAGUGCGGUAAAAGGCGGCCUCUUCUUGAAAGCUGUCACUUGAGGAUGAGCCCGCGGCCUAUUAGCUAGUUGGUGGGGUAAUGGCCUACCAAGGCAACGAUGGGUAGCCGGCCUGAGAGGGUGUACGGCCACACUGGCACUGAGAUACGGGCCAGACUCCUACGGGAGGCAGCAGUGGGGAAUUUUGCGCAAUGGGGGAAACCCUGACGCAGCAACGCCGCGUGAGUGAUGAAGGCCUUCGGGUCGUAAAGCUCUUUUAGUGGGGAAGAAUCCCACCCGGGCUAAUACCUCGGGUGUCUGACGGUACCCACAGAAAAAGUUCCGGCUAACUACGUGCCAGCAGCCGCGGUAAUACGUAGGGAGCAAGCGUUGUUCGGAAUUAUUGGGCGUAAAGAGCGCGUAGGCGGUUCGGUAAGUCUGACGUGAAAUCCCAGAGCUUAACUCUGGAACUGCGUUGGAUACUGCCGAGCUUGAGUGUGGG
rnacentral:rRNA from 1 species